rnacentral:rRNA from 1 species
AUUGAACGCUGGCGGCAGGCCUAACACAUGCAAGUCGAGCGGAGCGGCGAACGGGGAAGUAAUGACUAGGGAUCUGCCUGGUGGUGGGGGAUAACGUCCGGAAACGGGCGAUAAUACCGCAUACUAUCAGAUGAGCCUAGGUUGGAUUAGCUAGUUGGUGGGGUAAAGGCCUAGCAAGGCGACGAUCCGUAACUGGUCUGAGAGGAUGAUCAGUCACACUGGAACUGAGACACGGUCCAGACUCCUACGGUAGGCAGCAGUGGGGAAUAUUGGGCAAUGGGCGAAAGCCUGAUCCAGCCAUGCCGCGUGUGUGAAGAAGGUCUUCGGAUUGUAAAGCACUUUAAGUUGGGAGGCGUUACCAACAGAAUAAGCACCGGCUAACUUCGUGCCAGCAGCCGCGGUAAUAC